GACGAACGCUGGCGGCGUGCUUAACACAUGCAAGUGGAGCGACGAACCAGGGCUUGCCCUGGGGCAGAGCCGCGAACGGGUGAGUAACACGUGGGUUACCUGCCCCGAUGACCGGGACAACCCGAGGAAACUCGGGCUAAUACCGGAUGUGGUCUUCGGACGAAAGGAAGCUUCGGCCUCCGCAUCGGGAUGGGCCCGCGGCGCAUUAGCUUGUUGGUGGGGGUAAUGGCCUACCAAGGCGACGAUGCGUAGCUGGUCUGAGAGGACGAUCAGCCACACUGGGACUGAGACACGGCCCAGACUCCUACGGGAGGCAGCAGUGGGGAAUCUUGCGCAAUGCGCGAAAGCGUGACGCAGCAACGCCGCGUGAGGGAAGACGGCCU
rnacentral:rRNA from 1 species